CAGAGCCGCGCCGAUACCCUGGACAGCGCCUCGCCGCCGCGGCACCAUGGAGAAUCUGAAAGCUUUUGACCGAGAAGUAAAUGCGUUUGUGGAUUAUAUGUUUGGACCUCGAGAAGUGUAAGCGAAGCAGUCCAGAUCUUCAGGUUGCCAUUCRUAAACCACUCUUCAC
rnacentral:lncRNA from 1 species